rnacentral:rRNA from 1 species
GACGAACGCUGGCGGCGUGCUUAACACAUGCAAGUCGAACGAAGUGGCGAACGGGUGAGUAACGCGUAAUAAACCGGCCCUUCAGAGGGGGACAACAGUUGGAAACGACUGCUAAUACCGCAUACUGAAGGAGGGGAUGUCGGCUGAUUAGCUAGGUGGAGGGGUAACGGCCCACCAAGGGGAUGAUCAGUAGCCGAUCUGAGAGGAUGCACGGCACCAUUGGGACUGAGACACGGCCCAGAGUCCUACUUGAGGCACCCGUGGGGAAUGUUCCGCACUUGACGCACGUCUGACGCAUCAACGCCGCGUGAGUGAUGCCCGCCUUCCGGUUGUAAAGCUCUGUUAAUCGGGACGCGGUACCGGAAUAGAAAGCCACGGCUAACUACGUGCCAGCAGCCGCGGUAAUUC